rnacentral:rRNA from 1 species
GACGAACGCUGGCGGCGUGCUUAACACAUGCCAGUCGAACGAAGAGCGAUGGAAGCUUGCUUCUAUCAAUCUUAGUGGCGAACGGGUGAGUAACGCGUAAUCAACCUGCCCUUCAGAGGGGGACAACAGUUGGAAACGACUGCUAAUACCGCAUACGAUCUAAUCUCGGCAUCGAGGAUGGAUGAAAGGUGGCCUCUACAUGUAAGCUAUCACUGAAGGAGGGGAUUGCGUCUGAUUAGCUAGUUGGAGGGGUAACGGCCCACCAAGGCGAUGAUCAGUAGCCGGUCUGAGAGGAUGAACGGCCACAUUGGGACUGAGACACGGCCCAGACUCCUACGGGAGGCAGCAGUGGGGAAUCUUCCGCAAUGGACGAAAGUCUGACGGAGCAACGCCGCGUGAGCGAUGACGGCCUUCGGGUUGUAAAGCUCUGUUAAUCGGGACGAAAGGCCUUCUUGCGAAUAGUGAGAAGGAUUGACGGUACCGGAAUAGAAAGCCACGGCUAACUACGUG